rnacentral:rRNA from 1 species
UACGGAGGGUGCGAGCGUUGUCCGGAAUCAUUGGGCGUAAAGGGCGCGUAGGUGGCCCGGUCAGUUCGUGGUGAAAGCGCGGGGCUCAACCCUGCGUCGGCCAUGAAAUACUGCCCGCGGCUGGAGCACUGUAGAGGCAGGCGGAAUCCGGGUGUAGCGGUGGAAUGCGUAGAGAUCCGGAAGAACACCGGUGGCGAAGGCGGGUCU